AUUGAACGCUGGCGGCAUGCCUUACACAUGCAAGUCGAACGGCAGCACGGGUGCUUGCACCUGGUGGCGAGUGGCGAACGGGGGAGUAAUAUAUCGGAACGUACCUUAUUGUGGGGGAUAACGCAGCGAAAGCUGUGCUAAUACCGCAUAAUCCCUAAGGGGGAAAGCGGGGGACCGUAAGGCCUCGCGCAAUUAGAGCGGCCGAUACCUAAUUAGCUAGUUGGUGGGGUAAAGGCUCACCAAGGCAACGAUCAGUAGCUGGUCUGAGAGGACGAUCAGCCACACUGGGACUGAGACACGGCCCAGACUCCUACGGGAGGCAGCAGUGGGGAAUUUUGGACAAUGGGGGCAACCCUGAUCCAGCAAUGCCGCGUGAGUGAAGAAGGCCUUCGGGUUGUAAAGCUCUUUUGUCAGGGAAGAAACAGCAGCUCUAACACAGUUUGCGAAUGACGGUACCUGAAGAAUAAGCACCGGCUAACUACGUGCCAGCCGCCGCAGUAA
rnacentral:rRNA from 1 species